UACGUAGGGUGCGAGCGUUGUCCGGAAUUAUUGGGCGUAAAGAGCUCGUAGGCGGUUUGUCGCGUCUGCUGUGAAAACGCGGGGCUCAACUCCGCGCCUGCAGUGGGUACGGGCAGACUAGAGUGCAGUAGGGGAGACUGGAAUUCUUGGUGUAGCGGUGAAAUGCGCAGAUAUCAGGAGGAACACCAGCGGCGAAGGCGGCGCUCUGGGCCGGUACUGACACUGAGGAGCGAAAGCGUGGGUAGCAAACAGG
rnacentral:rRNA from 1 species